CAGUCGCCGCGGGAACACGAAGGGUGCAAGCGUUACUCGGAAUUACUGGGCGUAAAGCGUGCGUAGGUGGUGGUUUAAGUCCGUUGUGAAAGCCCUGGGCUCAACCUGGGAAUUGCAGUGGAUACUGGGUCACUAGAGUGUGGUAGAGGAUAGUGGAAUUUCCGGUGUAGCAGUGAAAUGCGUAGAGAUCGGAAGGAACAUCUGUGGCGAAGGCGACUAUCUGGGCCAACACUGACACUGAGGCACGAAAGCGUGGGGAGCAAACAGGAUUAGAUACCCCCGUAGUCCCUGUCUCUUAUAA
rnacentral:rRNA from 1 species